UGCUUUACGUGGGCUCAUUGUCCA
rnacentral:misc_RNA from 1 species